rnacentral:rRNA from 1 species
CAGCCGCCGCGGGAAUACGAAGGGGGCUAGCGUUGUUCGGAAUUACUGGGCGUAAAGCGCACGUAGGCGGACAUUUAAGUCAGGGGUGAAAUCCCGGGGCUCAACCCCGGAACUGCCUUUGAUACUGGGUGUCUAAAGUAUGGAAGAGGUGAGUGGAAUUCCGAGUGUAGAGGUGAAAUUCGUAGAUAUUCGGAGGAACACCAGUGGCGAAGGCGGCUCACUGGUCCAUUACUGACGCUGAGGUGCGAAAGCGUGGGGAGCAAACAGGAUUAGAUACCCCAGUAGUCCCUGUCUCUUAUAC